GGCCUCUUCUUGGCUUCAAGAGGAUUCUCAUUUGCCUUUCUCUUGGGGAAAAUCUUCCCUCUGGGACCCUGGAUGGCCUGACUUCCAGAAUUAUAGGAGCCUCAUGCAUCAAGUACCUGUUGGAGGCCAGGCACUUGACAUACAGCAUCAUGUUCAAUUCUCCCAGUGUGUUUUCAACUGACAGUGCCCUUUCCUGGUCACGUGGGAGCCUUGUGACUCCUGACAGGGGCGUGGAAUGAGGUGACCCCAUCUUUUUACAGGUUUUCUGACUCUUCCAUAAAUUCCUUCUGCUGUAUAGCAUAGGUUCAUAUGGUCAAAGCCAUGGUUUUUCCAGUAGACAUGUAUGGAUAUGAGAGUUGGACUAUAAAGAAGACUGAGUGCCAAAAAUUGAUGCUUUCAAACUGUGAUGCUGGAGAAGACUCUUGAGAGUCCUUUGGACAGCAAGGAGUCCUUUGGACAGCAAGGAGGUCAAGCCAGUCAGUCUUAAGGGAAAUCCACCCUGAAUGUUCAUUGGAAGGACUGGUGCUGAAGCUGAAGCUCCAAUACUUUGGCCAACUGAUGUGAAGAACUGACUCAUUGGAAAAGACCCUGAUGCUGGGAAAGGCUGAGGGCAAGAAGAAUAAUAUUCCACUGUAUAGAAAUGUGACAUCUUCUUUAUCCAUUCAUCUGUUGAUGGACCUUCAGUUUGCUUUCAUGUCCUGGCUACUCUAAAUAGUGCUUCUGUGAAUAUUGAGAUGUAUCUAUCUUUUAAAAUAGUUUUUGUCUUUUCCAGAUGUAUGCCCAGGAGUGGGAUUGCUGGGUUGUAUGGUAACUCUAUUUUUAGCUUUUUAAGGAACCUCCAUACUGAUUUCCAUAGUGGCUGAACCAAUUUACAUUCCUACCAAGAGUGUAAGGGGCUCCCUUUUCUUUACACCUU